rnacentral:rRNA from 1 species
UGGUUGGACGAGGUAAUAGCUGUCUUUAUUUAAUAUAUAUUAGAAUUUAACUUUUAAGUUAAAAGGCUUAAAUUUAAUUGAUAGACGAGAAGACCCUAUAGAUCUUUAUUUAUAAAGUUAUGAGUUGGAUUUGGAUUAAUUUAAAGUUUGUAACUCUAUGAAUUUUAUUGGGGUAAUAUAAAGAUUAAAAAAAUUCUUUGAAUAGAUUGAACAAUGAUGAUUGACAAAUUGAUCCAUUAGUAUUGAUUAGAAGAUUAAGUUAC